GGGGAGAAGAACCCAGACUCCCUGAAGGAGACCAGUAUACAGGGGCAGGGGGUCGGCACAAUACGCACGGGAUAAGGGCGAGCAACACAACACACGUGUUGCAAAACUAAUUUACCCGCUAGACGCUAGUCCAACCACACAAGUGGCGAUAUUACGACCAGCACUCCAUACUACACUUGCGACUCCGAGAAAGGUAGCAAAUACGGAUUGGGAAAAUAUGAACGUUUAAAGUGUAAUGGUUAAAAUUGUAUACGCUAGCAUUGGAAAUGUGGAACGCGUAAUGUGUGAUGUGAACUACAUAAUGUACGUAUCCAAGGCAGAAAGUGUAC